GUUUGACCUCAAAUCAGGUAGGACUACCCGCUGAACUUAAGCAUAUCAAUAAGCGGAGGAAAAGAAACCAACAGGGAUUGCCUCAGUAACGGCGAGUGAAGCGGCAAAAGCUCAAAUUUGAAAUCUAGCACCUUCGGUGUUCGAGUUGUAAUUUGAAGAUGGUAACCUUGGGUUUGGCUCUUGUCUAUGUUCCUUGGAAACAGGACGUCAUAGAGGGUGAGAAUCCCGUCUGAUGAGAUGCCCAUUCCUAUGUAAGGUGCUAUCGAAGAGUCGAGUU
rnacentral:rRNA from 1 species